rnacentral:misc_RNA from 5 species
AACGCACAUUGCGCCCGCCAGUAUUCUGGCGGGCAUGCCUGUUCGAGCGUCAUUUCAACCCUCAAGCACAGCUUGGUGUUGGGACUCGCGUUAAUUCGCGUUCCUCAAAUUGAUUGGCGGUCACGUCGAGCUUCCAUAGCGUAGUAGUAAAACCCUCGUUACUGGUAAUCGUCGCGGCCACGCCGUUAAACCCCAACUUCUGAAUGUUGACCUCGGAUCAGGUAGGAAUACCCGCUGAACUUAA